rnacentral:rRNA from 1 species
AUUGAACGCUGGCGGCAGGCCUAACACAUGCAAGUAGAGCGGAGCGGCGGACGGGUGAGUAAUGCCUAGGAAUCUGCCUGGUAGUGGGGGCUAACGUCCGGAAACGGGCGAUAAUACCGCAUACUAUCAGAUGAGCCUAGGGCGGAUUAGCUAGUUGGUGGGGUAAAGGCCUACCAAGGCGACGAUCCGUAACUGGUCUGAGAGGAUGAUGAGUCACACUGGAACUGAGACACGGUCCAGACUCCUACGGGAGGCAGCGGUGGGAAAUAGUGGACAAGGGGCGAAAGCCUGAUCCGGCCAGGCCGCGUGUGUGAAGAAGGGCUUCGGAUUGUAAAGCACUUUAAGUUGGGAGGCGUUACCAACAGAGUAAGCACCGGCUAACUUCGUGCCAGCAGCCGCGGUAAUUC